rnacentral:lncRNA from 1 species
GCGAAACGAAUGGCUCACGGUGGAGACGAGGCAAGGCGGAGAUGAGCGGAGAAAGGAAAUUGGUAUCGAGAAUUUUCCGUAACCACUCGGUAUGUCACGGUUUGGGCUUUACGUAGCACCCUAUCUGACUAUAGGGUGAUGGAAACCAGCCCAGCCGAACUAGAUGCCAGUAACGUUUUUGUUAAACGCUGUAAUCGAAAGACGGUGGAAAAGUUAGGAACCACACGCAUCGUUUGCUUCCAGAUGUGUCUCAUUCCCAUCAUGCGUCCAUAAUAUUUUCUGGUGGGUCCAAAACUUUUCAUGUGUCUCAAGGUAGCUCUCCCUAUCCGAACCAAUCAUGUUUGUGGAGAUUCCAGGUUCUAGCUAGUCGGAUAAUGGGCUACACAUAUAGAAGCGAUCAUGGAAUCUCCAACUUGCGCAUAUAAACUCCCUUUUCAUGAAUACAAAUCCAACCUACGCAUGUAUAGCCUUUAAAGAUGCCUUUAAAUCUUCAUUCGGUAUAUAUUUAUUAGAUGCCGGCCAUAGUGUUGCACCAUUAGAACAUUCUUCUCAGAACCUACAAAGCAAUUUCUAAUCCAUUAUUUUCCUUUCACUUCAUAUUAAAAAAGUAAAUAUUGUCAUAUUCUUUCUAUUAGAUGUAGAUAGCAUCAAAUAAAAGAAUCUUAGUACUGACAUUUUCUUUGUCCUACACCACAAGAUUACUUUAUCCUGGGCCAAUGGGUGUCCGUCAACCUAAGCUCGUCUAUGCACACCCACCCAUAUAAACGAGGCAAUGCCUAUGAAGCUUCUCUUCAUAGCUUCCCACCUUGAUUAAUAAUCGGGAUAGGAGAACUCAACCCUGACAUCAAAGGAGUCAAGUCAAAAUUUCGAGAAAUAGUGAGCAACAAUAAUUAGGAUGUGUUUGACCGUAGAAAUUUAAUGGGAAGGGGAGGUAUAGGGAAACACAUCCCGAGUGACAGCCUACCAAGACGUUUCUCCUUGCCGCUAUACCUGAACAGCUAAAUUUAAAACAGCUCAAUGCCGGCACAGGGAGAUCAGUGGAGGGUGGCGCAAGGGUGUGCUGCACAAGGACACUAGACGACUUUCCCAUGUGAAGGAGCUAUAAAUUU